AGCAGAGCUGUUAAAAAUAUCAACGAGAAGGUGUCUGAAGCUCUAGUUGGAAUGGAUCCAACACUGCAGUCCUAAAUUGACCAGGCUAUGAUAGACUUGGGCUAGACUGAAAAUAAGGUAACUUUUCGUGCUAAAAUUGGUAAUGCAAGGUGUUAGGUUCAAGAUACUGCAACACAACUCUGGGAGGUUUCCGAUAAAUUCAUAAAAGCUAAUUGCUUAUUUGUGGUAUUGGUCUCGUUGGAAUUGAAGUUGACGCUGAAUACACAAGUCAGAUACAUGUGUAACUCUCAGUUACACUAGAUAAAUGCAUAUGUAACUCUCAACAUGCGUGUGUUACACAGGCUAAA